CCCGCACAAGCGGUGGAGCAUGUGGUUAAUUCGACGCAACGCGAAAACUUACCUGGGCUUGACAUGGAGAGAAUCUCCUGGAAACAGGAGAGUGCCUCGCAAGAGGAGCUCUCACACAGGUGCUGCAUGGCUGUCGUCAGCUCGUGUCGUGAGAUGUUGGGUUAAGUCCCGCAACGAGCGCAACCCUUGUCCUUAGUUGCCACCAUUCAGUUGGGCACUCUAAGGAGACUGCCGGUGUUAAACCGGAGGAAGGUGGGGAUGACGUCAAGUCCUCAUGGCCCUUAUGCCCAGGGCUACACACGUGCUACAAUGGGCGGUACAAAGGGUAGCGAUGCCGCGAGGCGAAGCCAAUCCCAAAAAGCCGUCCACAGUUCGGAUUGGAGUCUGCAACUCGACUCCAUGAAGCCGGAAUCGCUAGUAAUCGUGGAUCAGCAUGCCACGGUGAAUACGUUCCCGGGCCUU
rnacentral:rRNA from 1 species